AUACCUUUCUCGGCCUUUUGGCUAAGAUCAAGUGUAGUAUCUGUUUAAUAUCUGAUAUGUGGACUACAGACAGUAGCUUGAUUUCACUGAAUGCUUU
rfam:Hordeum vulgare subsp. vulgare, WGS project CAJW01000000 data, contig: morex_contig_28192